CCUUUACCAGCAUAUGAACGGGGUUGGCAGCGGCUCCUGAAUUUCUGCAUAUAGAGCGUAAUUAACAGCUGGUGUUCAGUUGUUCACUUUACCACAGUAUUCUCUAACCUGGUGCCCUCCAGAUAUGUUGGACUGCAGCUCUUAUAAAUCCUGGCCAGCGUGGCUUCUGGAAGAGGGGAUCACAGCAAGAAUAAAUGUAAGUGGUGGAGAUACAGAGAGAAGGAGGACCAUUCACAGCUUGAUUAUUUGGAAUCCAGAAGGAGCAAGCAAGUUCUCCAAUUUAUUUUUAUGUACAAUGUUGGAAAUAUGUGUGCAUAGUAAUGACACUUCCAGAUGGACAGUUUUAUGUGCAAAAUUGGUACAUUUC